AGAUGAUAAUAGUACCUGCUUUGGGGGAGGGGGGUUGUUGGGAGGAGGGCCUGACUACGCAACAAAUACGAGCUGUGCUUGAACUUGAACUUGGAGCCAGGCAGGCAGGCAUGCGGGCAGUCUGGUGCCACAAGGGCAACUCUUUCCUGGACGUUUGGAAUCAGAAGUAGAUGAUGAGGCCGGCUGGUGCUAGGAGGGGACGGCGGUGGGCGGGGAGCCCUCCUCACACAGACGGUGAGAGACGGGCAGGCGAGUGAGCUAUGUGUCCCGAGGGCACGGGGCAUGUGGCUGCCCUCUGCAGGGAUCGAGGCCAGCACCGGGCCGGGUGGGAUCGGGGUCUGAGGGGGGGGCCUGGAUGUGUCGGAAUUACUUGGACCCUCGUGUCGCAUCCAGAUUCCCCGGCCCUAGCAAAUCGGAGUCUCCAGGACAAGGGACGGGUGUGGGAGGCGGAGGCGCCCAAGGCAGGCUGAUGAGCAGCAGUUGGAGAAAGUCUGCACGGCCGGAAACAUCUCGAGACCUGAAGCCAUGGCCUCAGAGUCCUGGGACUUUCAGUCUGGGCAGCUGGUUAUCAUGCCGUGGACUUGAAUCUGAAGAAACGUUUGUGCUGUGCAAGAGUCCUAUGUUUCUCUGAUUUUGAGCAAAUGAAAGCCAGCCCAGCGCUGGGAGUCGGUGCCUUCCCCAAAGAGGGGGCUGGCCCCAGUGCGUGGGGGAGGGGGUGACGGCCCAGGGCCUGCAAGCUGUCCCCUGGAGGCAUGGGGUGGGGCUGGCCAUUUCCCAGCUGCGGGCUCUCUCCCUGUGAAAUGGGGAGAGCCAGCAUGACUGGGGGGGGGGGGGGGCAGAUGAGAGGCUGUUCCCCACGGUGCCUGUGUGGGUCCACGCAGACCGGACAGGAGGCUCAGGACUCCCUUCCUCUGGGUCAGGAGUGUCUUGUGUCCCAUGGCCCUCUGGGUCCUCCUGAAGUUUGGCCCCAGUGGGGGUCCUGUAGGUUCCGAGACCAGGAAGGAUGUCAUAGCAAGCAGCGCCCCCUUGGGCUCCAGCUCAGCCAGCGGCUUGGUAUAACUUGCCGACGGUGAAAUGCACAGAUUCCAAGCGUACAUUCUGAUUUCGAUUUGGCAGUUGUAUAUAUCUGCCCAACCACCACCCCCGGUCCGGAUCCGGAAGGUUUCCAGCACCCGGGAGAUUCCCUGGUGCCCUUUGCAGCGCCCCCCACCCCCCCACAUGCCGCAGGGGCAGCUCUGUCCUGACUUCUAUCACCACGGAUUAGUUUUGCCUGUUUGGGAACGUCCUAGAAAUGGAACCACACACCAUGUGGUCUUUUGUGUCUGAGCCUGAAGACUAACUUCUACAUCGAAUAAAAGAGAAGAGGGGACCAUGCCGUAUUCUUGGAAAGAGAAAACGGUCAUCCUGGGCUGGGGGAUGAGACCAAAUGGCACCUCCUGGGUGUGGUUAGCUCCGCGGAUGCCCUGGGUCCACCGACGGAGGGCUGGAUUGCCGUCACUCCCAGCACUGGCCCUGGCCCCCUCCCUCCUGUCUGAUGUCUCCCUUGCUAGUGCAGCCUGAGUCCGGCUCCGGCCUGGCCCCAGAUCAGCCCCUGGGGCCGGCCCCCCCCCCCACCCUCACCCCAGCCUGUCCAGUGUCCCCUUGCUGGUACCACCUGAGUCCAGCUUCAGCCCGGCCCCAGAGCUCAGUCUGUUGAGUCAGGUUCUGGGUUUGCACGUCCGAGCCCUGGUGGAACCCCCAGGCUGCCAGAGAAAGGCCUUCCCUGUCCCCGCCCCACCCGCCGGGCACCCCUCGGGCCCCCUCUGGCUUUGGUGAUGGCUGCACGCCCUCCGUCUUGCUUCUAAUGACCGUGUCCUAGUGCCUCAACCUUCCCCAACCGCAAGUGCCCCACAGGCAGUGACCUGAUGGCCUGCAUGUGCCGGGCUGACGCCGGGGCCUCUGGCUUAUCAGCAGACAGAGGCCAGGAGGCUCUUUCUCACCCUUUGCCUCCUGUUCCAACUGAAAUGGACAGUUCGGUCCCUUCCAGCCCACCGUCUGAGCACCUGCCUAUCUGCCUUUGCCGGUGCUAUGCCUGUUGUCUCGAGCACCUGUUAUCUGGGGCUCCUCACCUGACAGUCCCUCGGGUCUCCAUUCAGACAGCCCCAGCCCCCCUGGGAGAAGUGCUGCGAUGUGCUCCCACACCCACUUCGAGGGAGGGAAGCUGGGAGGGAUCCUGGCUUCCCAGGGGACCGCCAUCAGCCCCUGGACGAACGCUGGGAUCGAUUAGGUAUCUUCAGGAGCAUCUACCGUGGCAAGAGCUGAGGUGUUUGGGUCCUGCUAGAGCUGGGCACUGAGGACUGCACCAAGAAGGGCGCCCCCUCUGUCCCCUCUGGGGGGACAUGGUGUGGCGGGGACUGGGGCGUCUGAGUCCGGCCUUGAGCCUGCACGAUGUGGCUGUGACCUGACGGAAUGCGGGCUCUCCAUGUCUCGUUGACCUGGGAGUAUCAAAUGGGGUCGUGUCUCCUGCAGGGCCUUACAAACUGUAAGGUGCGGUGCACGAACCACGCGAACGGCUGGAGCCCAACCACCUUUGAGCGAAAGCAGCAGCACUUUCUCAUGGGUCACCCCACCCCGUGCAUCCUGCCUGUGCCGCCAGGGCAGGGCGGGACAUAGCAGUAAUAGUGUGCCUUGGGGGGUGCCAGGCACCCACACUUCUGAGCGAUCUACUCUUCUGUGCCCUACGGGAGCCGGGUGAGGGAGGGGCUGUGGGCGGCCUGAUUCAGAAGUUUGGGUGGUCACGCUUGGGAUCCUGUCUCUCUCUCUUUCUCUCUCUCUCUCUCUCUCUCUCUCUCUCUCUCUCAAAAG